UACGUAGGGGGCAAGCGUUGUCCGGAUUUAUUGGGCGUAAAGAGCUCGUAGGCGGUCUGUCGCGUCGGCUGUGAAAACCCGAGGCUCAACCUCGGGCCUGCAGUCGAUACGGGCAAACUAGAGUACUGCAGGGGAGACUGGAAUUCCUGGUGUAGCGGUGAAAUGCGUAGAUAUCUGGAGGAACACCGGUGGCGAAGGCGGCGUCCUGGACCAACACUGACACUGAUGAGCGAAAGCCAGGGGAGCAAACGGG
rnacentral:rRNA from 1 species